GGGGGUAUAGCUCAGGGGUAGAGCACUUGACUGCAGAUCAAGAGGUCCCUGGUUCAAAUCCAGGUGCCCCCU
rnacentral:tRNA from 2 species